GACGAACCGUGCGAACGUUGUUCGGAAUCACUGGGCUUAAAGGGCGCGUAGGCGGGUUUUCAAGUCUGUGGUGAAAUCCUCCAGCUUAACUGGAGAAGUGCCGUGGAUACUGGAGACCUCGAGGAGGGUAGGGGCAUCUGGAACAGCCGGUGGAGCGGUGAAAUGCGUUGAUAUCGGCUGGAACUCCGAUGGCGAAGGCAAGGUGCUGGACCCUCUCUGACGCUGAUGCGCGAAAGCUAGGGGAGCAAACAGG
rnacentral:rRNA from 1 species